UUCUCGGAUCUGUCCCGGGAUAGACCACGCCGUCAACAUGGAGGGCUUGCGUCAUAUUUCGGCAGCAUGGCUCUUGGUCUUCGCUGCCGUAACUACAGGGAAAGAAGACAUGAAACUGGAGGCUAGCAUGACCCCCGUUUCCUGUUCGCCGAUAGUGGGUUCGACGUCUGGGCCAUGAGUAACAGGGAGUCAAGGCCCUACACAAACAGCACGAGAUUUUCGCAACGGGACCCCAAGCACUGGCAAUGGAGCUUCGACGAAUUAGGGCGCUACGACUUGGCUGCUUGCAUCGACCACGUUCUUAAGGCCACGGGCUCCCCCAAACUGACAACGGUGGCUCUCUCUCAGGGAGUAAUGGCGAACCUCGUACUGCACUCUGUACGGCCAGAGUACAACAAUAAGGUAGACCUUCUUGUGGCGUAUGGCCCUGUCGGAAAUCUCACCCACAUCAGGCCUCCAACUUCGCUACUAAUACCGUUUGUCCCUUCUCUCAUGGCAAGUUGCUUCUUUCUAAUACGUUUGUACAAGCCCGUAAUCAUAAUAGAAAUUUAGCACUUUAGCCGUG
rnacentral:lncRNA from 1 species